GAUAUCGGCGUCGAGCGGCGGACGGGUGAGUAAUGCCUGGGAAAUUGCCCUGAUGUGGGGGAUAACCAUUGGAAACGAUGGCUAAUACCGCAUAAUAGCUUCGGCUCAAAGAGGGGGACCUUCGGGCCUCUCGCGUCAGGAUAUGCCCAGGUGGGAUUAGCUAGUUGGUGAGGUAAGGGCUCACCAAGGCGACGAUCCCUAGCUGGUCUGAGAGGAUGAUCAGCCACACUGGAACUGAGACACGGUCCAGACUCCUACGGGAGGCAGCAGUGGGGAAUAUUGCACAAUGGGCGCAAGCCUGAUGCAGCCAUGCCGCGUGUGUGAAGAAGGCCUUCGGGUUGUAAAGCACUUUCAGUCGUGAGGAAGGUAGUGUGUUUAAUAGAUGCAUUAUUUGACGUUAGCGACAGAAGAAGCACCGGCUAACUCCGUGCCAGCAGCCGCGGUAAUACGGAGGGUGCGAGCGUUAAUCGGAAUUACUGGGCGUAAAGCGCAUGCAGGUGGUGUGUUAAGUCAGAUGUGAAAGCCCGGGGCUCAACCUCGGAAUAGCAUUUGAAACUGGCAGACUAGAGUACUGUAGAGGGGGGUAGAAUUUCAGGUGUAGCGGUGAAAUGCGUAGAGAUCUGAAGGAAUACCGGUGGCGAAGGCGGCCCCCUGGACAGAUACUGACACUCAGAUGCGAAAGCGUGGGGGAGCAAACAGGAUUAGAUACCCUGGUAGUCCACGCCGUAAACGAUGUCUACUUGGAGGUUGUGGCCUUGAGCCGUGGCUUUCGGAGCUAACGCGUUAAGUAGACCGCCUGGGGAGUACGGUCGCAAGAUUAAAACUCAAAUGAAUUGACGGGGGCCCGCACAAGCGGUGGAGCAUGUGGUUUAAUUCGAUGCAACGCGAAGAACCUUACCUACUCUUGACAUCCAGAGAACUUAGCAGAGAUGGUUUGGUGCCUUCGGGAACUCUGAGACAGGUGCUGCAUGGCUGUCGUCAGCUCGUGUUGUGAAAUGUUGGGUUAAGUCCCGCAACGAGCGCAACCCUUAUCCUUGUUUGCCAGCGAGUAAUGUCGGGAACUCCAGGGAGACUGCCGGUGAUAAACCGGAGGAAGGUGGGGACGACGUCAAGUCAUCAUGGCCCUUACGAGUAGGGCUACACACGUGCUACAAUGGCGCAUACAGAGGGCGGCCAACUUGCGAAAGUGAGCGAAUCCCAAAAAGUGCGUCGUAGUCCGGAUUGGAGUCUGCAACUCGACUCCAUGAAGUCGGAAUCGCUAGUAAUCGUGGAUCAGAAUGCCACGGUGAAUACGUUCCCGGGCCUUGUACACACCGCCCGUCACACCAUGGGAGUGGG
rnacentral:rRNA from 1 species